UCGCUGGUGGUCCAGUGGCUAAGACUCCUCACUCCCAAUGCAGGGAACCCAGGUUCAAUCCCUGGUCAGGGGA
rfam:TPA: Bos taurus chromosome 15, whole genome shotgun sequence.